UGAGGAAUAUUGGUCAAUGGGCGGGAGCCUGAACCAGCCAAGUCGCGUGAGGGAAGACGGCCCUAUGGGUUGUAAACCUCUUUUGCCGGGGAGCAAAGCGCCGCACGUGUGCGGCUUGGAGAGUACCCGGAGAAAAAGCAUCGGCUAACUCCGUGCCAGCAGCCGCGGUAAUACGGAGGAUGCGAGCGUUAUCCGGAUUCAUUGGGUUUAAAGGGUGCGUAGGCGGCGUCUUAAGCCGGCGGUGAAAUCGCGGGGCUCAACCCCGCCGAGCCGUCGGAACUGGGAUGCUCGAGUGUCGGCGAGGCAUGCGGAAUGCGCGGUGUAGCGGUGAAAUGCAUAGAUAUCGCGCAGAACCCCGAUUGCGAAGGCAGCGUGCCAGCCGCCCACUGACGCUGAGGCACGAAAGCGCGGGUAUCGAACAGGAUUAGAUACC
rnacentral:rRNA from 1 species